rnacentral:piRNA from 1 species
UACCAAGCUGAGGUAACCUGAGCCUUUGG